UGGGGAAUAUUGGACAAUGGGCGAAAGCCUGAUCCAGCCAUGCCGCGUGUGUGAAGAAGGUCUUCGGAUUGUAAAGCACUUUAAGUUGGGAGGAAGGGCAGUAAGCGAAUACCUUGCUGUUUUGACGUUACCGACAGAAUAAGCACCGGCUAACUCUGUGCCAGCAGCCGCGGUAAUACAGAGGGUGCAAGCGUUAAUCGGAAUUACUGGGCGUAAAGCGCGCGUAGGUGGUUCGUUAAGUUGAAUGUGAAAGCCCCGGGCUGAACCUGGGAACUGCAUCAAAAACUGGCGAGCUAGAGUAGGGCAGAGGGGGGUGGAAUUUCCUGUGUAGAGGUGAAAUGCGUAGAUAUAGGAAGGAACACCAGUGGCGAAGGCGACCACCUGGGCUCAUACUGACACUGAGGUGCGAAAGCGUGGGGAGCAAACAGG
rnacentral:rRNA from 1 species